CGAAGCAACGCGAAGAACCUUACCAAGUCUUGACAUCGGAAUGACCGGUCCGUAACGGGGCCUUCCCUACGGGGCAUUCCAGACAGGUGGUGCAUGGUUGUCGUCAGCUCGUGUCGUGAGAUGUUGGGUUAAGUCCCGCAACGAGCGCAACCCUUAUCCUUAGUAGCCAGCAGUUCGGCUGGGCACUCUGGGGAGGACUGCCAGGGAUAACCUGGAGGAAGUGGGGAUGACGUCAAAUCAUCAUGCCCCUUAUGAUUUGGGCUACACACGUGCUACAAUGGCGUAAACAAAGGGAAGCGAAGGAGUGAUCCGGAGCAAAUCUCAAAAAUAACGUCUCAGUUCGGAUUGUAGUCUGCAACUCGACUACAUGAAGCUGGAAUCGCUAGUAAUCGCGGAUCAGAAUGCCGCGGUGAAUACGUUCCCGGGUCUU
rnacentral:rRNA from 1 species